CAGAGUGGCGGAGGGAUGACGUAUGUUGGCCAACCCGGAAGUGAGCGUCACCCUGGGUUCCCUUGACAACAAGCCAACGGCUUUUUCCAUUGGAUUUUGGAUGAUUGCAUUUUGCAUUUUUGAAGCACCUCCUCAAAAACUGACAAUAAAUAAAAAGAACAGUGCUCCAAAUAUCGAAAUGUAAACCAAUGCAUUCUGAAUGGGAGUUUUUCUCAGAUUUUUCCAUGCUACACAGACCGAAAUGUAAACCCAUGCAAAUGAAGGCUCCAUGGUCAUAAUAAUUUAAAUAUAAUUAAUCUCCAGAGUGUGUAGGGUAUGAAUGUAUGUAUAUAUUAUUAUAUAUAUUAUUUGUAUUCUGUCACUGGAAACGUCAUUCACUUCUCUUUUUCGCUUCAGUCUGAAGACUAGUGGAAGUAGUCCAGCCGCCAUUUGUUUGGCCUCCUCCAUGUAGUGUGGGAACCUUCUGCCGUGCCUGUAUAAAUAAAGAGAAAUGAUUAUGUAAAGCCGUUCCGCCGAAUUCAACAACCGUAGAAACAGAGGAAAGGACACAACAUUAUCGAGACCAAUCUCAUGGGCCCUGACGAACCGGUGAAACGGAUAAGUCUGAUGAAUUUAACCACGGGUCGAACCAAUGAUGAAAGUCUUCAACAGCGGAUGAAACAGGACAUGAAACAGUACAUUUGUUACGAAUGAGAUCAAUCUUAUUUUAGAUUUCUGUUGCCUACUGUAAAACAGAAGAGAUCAGUCGGAGUCAAUUGCGAAUCCGAUAAAGUUGGAUGGAAGCCAAUGAGUUGGAUGACACCUAGGAUAAUCCCUCAAACCACAAAUCUAUGAACAAGAUAUGCAUUGAAGUAGAAACAUCUAUUUCCCUGUGAUAUCAAAGAUGUUUUUCCACUUUGAUUUUGCUACAGUUUCUGGGCGAUGUGAUGUUUAUAAUGAAAGACCAGUUCAAAUAGGA